ensembl:misc_RNA Metazoa_SRP Metazoan signal recognition particle RNA
GCUGGGCGUGGUGGCUCACGCCUGUAAUCCCAGCACUUUGGGAGGCUGAGGCGGGCUGAUCACCUGAGGUCAGGAGUUCAAGACCAGCCUGACCAACAUGGUGAAACCCCAUCUCUA